CACGUAGGGUGCAAGCGUUGUCCGGAAUUAUUGGGCGUAAAGAGCUCGUAGGCGGCUUGUCGCGUCGGAUGUGAAAGCCCGGGGCUUAACCCCGGGUUGGCAUUCGAUACGGGCAGGCUAGAGUUCGGUAGGGGAGAUCGGAAUUCCUGGUGUAGCGGUGAAAUGCGCAGAUAUCAGGAGGAACACCGGUGGCGAAGGCGGAUCUCUGGGCCGAUACUGACGCUGAGGAGCGAAUGCGUGGGGAGCGAACAGG
rnacentral:misc_RNA from 1 species